rnacentral:rRNA from 1 species
UCCUCUAGUAACGGCGAGUGAAAGAGGAGAAGCUCAGCGUGUAGCCUCGGGGAUGCCCUCCAAGUGAGUGUGUUAAUCCUACGAUGGGAUGCCACGUAUGGGAGUACACUAGAAGAGAUGCGGCCCGGCAAUCCGAACUGUAUGAUGAAACAUUGCCCAUAGAGGGUGUUAGGCCCGUAGGACCGGUUUUGUCGCAUUUUUUCACGGUGUUCUCCCGAGAGUCGGGUUGUUUGAGAAUACAGCCUUAAGAGGUGGGAAACUCCAUCUAAAGCUAAAUAUUACUGCGAGACCGAUAGCGAACAAGUACCGUGAGGGAAAGUUGAAAAGGACUCUGAAGAGAGGGUUCAAUAGAGCGUGAAACUGCUACGGGGAUAAAGCGGAUACAUUAGCGUAGUCGAAAAGGGAGAUACAGCUCGUUCGCCGUCGACCUCUCGGUCCUCGUUGGUUGGUCUUAUCCUGAUGAAACGUGCAUUCGUGUACUUUCUUCGGUUCUUAAUUCUAUCGACGCGAGAUUUCCGAGUGAGCGUACGUUCACGAACGAAACUAAUUCACACCUUAGUAGGCCGUCGCGACGGUUGGAAGGUUGUCUAAGGCUAGAUAUGUUGGGAACCUUUCGUGGCGGACUCUUUUUAUUAAGUGUUUCCGUUUACGAGAGGGGACGCUUUCUAGAAAUUACUGGCGGACUUUCCGACCGGAGAAAUAGACGUUGGGACUCGUUUUGCGAGUGUGAACGUAAGUGCGGCGCUUAUAGCGAAUAAUUUAUCCGUCCCGUCUUGAAACACGGACCAAGGAGUCUAACAUGUACGCGAGUCAAAGGGCCUUCUAAACCCCUAGGCGUAAUGAAAGUAAAUGGAUUGAUCCGAGCUCUUCUCGAAGACCGGCGCAAAUCCGGGACCCGUCUUACUGCUCCUCACGGAGUUCACGUGGCGGGUACCUCGAGCGUACAUGUUGGUACCCGAAAGAUGGUGAUCUAUGCUUGGCCGGGAUGAAGCCAGAGGA